rnacentral:miRNA from 14 species
CAUCUCACAUUAUUGAGGAUAU